rnacentral:rRNA from 1 species
CCUACGGGAGGCAGCAGUGGGGAAUAUUGGGCAAUGGAGGAAACUCUGACCCAGCGACGCCGCGUGCGGGAUGAAGGCCUUCGGGUUGUAAACCGCUUUCAGCAGGGAAGAAGCGAAAGUGACGGUACCUACAGAAGAAGCACCGGCUAACUAUGUGCCAGCAGCCGCGGUAAUACAUAGGGUGCAAGCGUUGUCCGGAAUUAUUGGGCGUAAAGAGCUCGUAGGUGGUUCGUCACGUCGGAUGUGAAAAUCUGGGGCUCAACCCCAGACCUGCAUUCGAUACGGGCGAUCUAGAGUGUGGUAGGGGAGACUGGAAUUCCUGGUGUAGCGGUGGAAUGCGCAGAUAUCAGGAGGAACACCAAUGGCGAAGGCAGGUCUCUGGGCCAUUACUGACACUGAGGAGCGAAAGCGUGGGGAGCGAACAGGAUUAGAUACCCUGGUAGUCCACGCCGUAAACGGUGGGCACUAGUUGUGGGAACCUUCCACGGUUUCUGCGACGCAGCUAACGCAUUAAGUGCCCCGCCUGGGGAGUACGAUCGCAAGAUUAAAACUCAAAGGAAUUGACGGCNGAGACGUGCCGACGACGACGACGAGGGAGUAGG